rnacentral:rRNA from 1 species
CAGGGCCUAACACAUGCAAGUCGAGCGAGAAAGGGGAAACCCAGAGUAAAGCGGCGCACGGGUGAGUAACACGUAGGUAAUUUACCCCUUGGUGGUGGAUAACCUUCCGAAAGGAGGGCUAAUACAGCAUAAGACCACGUCUUCGCAAGGAGAUGAGGUCAAAGCCGGCCUCUUCAUGAAAGCUGGCGCCGAGGGAUGAGCCUGCGGCCCAUCACGGUAGUUGGUAGGGUAAUGGCCUACCAAGCCUAAGACGGGUAGCUGGUCUGAGAGGAUGAUCAGCCACACUGGGACUGAGACACGGCCCAGACUCCUACGGGAGGCAGCAGUGGGGAAUAUUGGACAAUGGGCGAAAGCCUGAUCCAGCAAUGCCGCGUGAGUGAUGAAGGCCUUAGGGUUGUAAAGCUCUUUUACCCGGGAUGAUAAUGACAGUACCGGGAGAAUAAGCUCCGGCUAACUCCGUGCCAGCAGCCGCGGUAAU